GCAUGUCGCCUGCCUGCUUAGAACACAUCAAAGCCACACGGUGCUAUGUGCAGUUCUGCUCUGUCCUUUUUAUGGAUGAUAGCUUUGACUUUGAUUGUUCCCUCAGGCAGGAGUAAAGAAGAGACAUUUUCCUCUCACAAUAUGCAUGUGGGGUUGUGGUGAGAGUGACCACUCAGCCACAACGAUGCAGGAGCGUGGACCGUCAUGGCGCUUUAUACAGUACAAAUCAGGGAUUGACUGUUGGAUACAACUUGCCUGACAUCAUUGAACGGCUUACCACAUUGGGAAACAGGUCUUUUCCUGGAUUUUUUCGAAAGGAGGCAAGAGGCAAAAAGCACCAUAUACACCAACACAACCUGGUAAGAGCUUUUUGGUGAACUUUUUUUUCUUGAAAAACAACGUGAAAAAAACACCAAAAGGAGAAGAGGAACUGCAGCUUAUACUGGCUGGCCUUGGAAAACGUUCAUUAACCCUUAAUGAAAACAUCACACAUUCAGAGUUUUCAGAUUUGCUUUUGAGCACAUAUCCAAGACUGGCAAAUAUCUGUGGUGGCUGGUUGCUGCACAAGUCCACAG